rnacentral:rRNA from 1 species
UACGUAGGGGGCAAGCGUUGUCCGGAUUCAUUGGGCGUAAAGAGCGUGUAGGCGGCCAGGUAGGUCGGUUGUGAAAACUCGAGGCUCAACCUCGAGACGUCGACGGAAACCAUCUGGCUAGAGUCCGGAAGAGGAGAGUGGAAUUCCUGGUGUAGCAGUGAAAUGCGUAGAUAUCAAGUGGAACACCAGUGGCGAAGGCGAGUCCCUGGACAGAUCCUGACGCUGAGGCACGAAAGCUAGGGGAGCAAACAGG